CCUCACUCAACUCGAUCACUCAAACCCUACCCACAAAAGGCUGGCCGAUAGCAGCAGGGGGCGGCGACGGCGGCCAGCCAGGCGGGCUGCGGGCACCGGGCAGGCAGGCGGCGGCGGUGGACGGGUGGGCCGGCUUUGACCUUGCGUGGGGAGGGCAGGUGGCUGCCGGGCGCCGCCGGGCCCCGGAGCCGAGGCGGCGAGGCGAGCCGCACCCGCGCGGAGACAAGAGCGGGCCAGCGGGGCGGCCUGCGGCAGUGCGGCACGGGCGCACGGUGACAACGGCACCGCAGCAGGCAGGGCGUGGCGGCGCGCGCGGGGCUGGGGCCGGCGCAUCCGCGCAGGGUGCCAUGGCCGUAGCCGGCAGCCCGUAAUCCACUCAAAAUUGGACAAUUGCUAAGAGUGGUGGUACAAUACAAGCUAUCACACUUCUUUGAACAUGCCCCCCUCCAAGUUCUGUAUGGGUUUCCUCCUCUAAUGGUGGCUCAAGCUAUGAUUCCAGUCUCCCUUGAUCUGUCAGCUAAAGAGCAACUCGGGAACGUGGCUACUUAGGUGUUCAGAGAUAAUUUAACCAAGGCUGAUUCUAGUCUGCCUUGAUCUGUUAGCUCAAGAGCAACUCAGAAACGUGGCUACUUAUAGGUGAUCAGAGACAAUUUAACCAAGGCAUAUAGAUAUAUUUGAAAGAAUCUUUGAAGUAGGAGACAUGGUAUAUUUGAAGAUUCAGCCAUAUAGAUACACAUCCUUGAGCACCCACAGGUCAAUGAAGCUUCAUUCCAAGUUCUAUGGGCCAUUCAGAAUGUUGGACAAAAUUGGAAAGGAUGCAUACAAAAUCUUCUACCUAAAGGUGCCUUCCAUGUCCUUAAGCUAAAAGGGUAUAUGGGACAUUUUGCAAUUUCAAGUCCAAAUCUUCCAUUAAAAGUCCAGAUCUUCCAUUAAUUAAUGAUAAAAAGAACCAUUAAAGUAGGUCUAGUGGCUAUUUUACCAAGAAGAAUGAUCCCAAGCAACAAUGAACCAAUGGCGCAGUGGUUAAUUCACUAGAUGAAUCUUCUAAAAUUUGAGGCCAUAUGGGAAGAUGCAGCUUUCAUUUGGAAGGUUUUCCUGCUUUAUUUCCAUCCCUGAGGACAAGGAUGAUAAGGGGUGGCUUUGUCAGGCAUCUCUGAAUCUGAAUGGAAUGUGCAAUUCGUCAGUUUCAUCAAGCUAGAGCUACCAGAGCAAGUCGGUCAUCGAGAUAACGUUUCACCGAUUUCAAUUGAGCAAUUAUCCAUCGUUUUCGUGUAUCCACCAGUCAUCGUCAAACACGAUAAAUUUCGAACGUGAAUUGUUUCAAUUCAGGUUGCAACGACCGGUGAUCAUCGACGGUAUGGCGGUGUUCAUUAUGGACAUCCGGACCCGUUCCUGGAACUGGAUCCUCGCCUCGGCUAGCUUCAUCCGGACCCUUUCCUCGCGCAGCUCGUCGGCAAGCUGCAGCAUCUCCUGCUCCCUCUCCAGCUCCUCCCGUGCGGCCUCCCGCUGGAGCUCUCCUCCUCCGCCACCGCGCCGCCGCCGCCGCCGCCAACGCCCCUGGAAAGCUCGUUGCAGACCUUCUCCGGCCGCGCCUUGGCCGUCCUCUCGCGCUCCAACUCCCGCGUGGCCGCCCGCAGCGACCCCUCGGCGUCCGCCAGCGCCUCAGCAAGCUUAUUGCCCACCCUGGCGCGGCGCCGCGAGCGGCGCUCGCGGUCCCAGCUCCGAGGCGACCAGCCGGGCGGCCGCCGCGGCCUUCUCCCUGUGCAUGGCCUUCCACACGCGCACCUCGUCCGCGAGCUGCCUCCGCAGCCGGUGGUGCUCCUCCUUGACGCUGCGGCGGCGGCCGUUGUGGUGCCUCGCGAGCCGCCGCAUGCGGCGAGGAGCGCAGUGCGGUGAGGAGCGAUGCUGCGGUCGGGCCGAGCGCGCCGGCGGGGCCCAGGAUGUUGGCUAGGACCCUAGCAGUUGCCUCGUGCGAGCGGAGGACGGCGGCGGGAGCGGAGGGGCAGCGACGGUGGAGCUUCUCGCGGCGUCAGGAAGAGAGCGAGAGAGACGGCGAGAGGCGAGAGAGAGAGACGGCGUUGUCUAUGGAUAAGAUCAGGGGCAAAAUGGGGAGUUCACGUGUGAUGUAAAACGAAAAUAAAAAAAUGAAAAUCGCGAAAUCAUGAAAAGGAGGAGAAUUCCCGAAA